UACGUAGGGUGCAAGCGUUAAUCGGAAUUACUGGGCGUAAAGCGUGCGCAGGCGGCUUUGCAAGACAGAUGUGAAAUCCCCGGGCUUAACCUGGGAACUGCAUUUGUGACUGCAAGGCUAGAGUGCGGCAGAGGGGGAUGGAAUUCCGCGUGUAGCAGUGAAAUGCGUAGAUAUGCGGAGGAACACCGAUGGCGAAGGCAAUCCCCUGGGCCUGCACUGACGCUCAUGCACGAAAGCGUGGGGAGCAAACGGG
rnacentral:rRNA from 1 species